CCUACGGGUGACAGCAGUGAGGAAUAUUGGUCAAUGGCCGGAAGGCUGAACCAGCCAUGCCGCGUGAAGGUCAGUGCCCUAUGGGCGUUAAACUUCUUUUGUGCGGGAGCAAUAAUGGUCACGUGUGGCCAGACGAGAGUACCGUACGAAUAAGCAUCGGCUAACUCCGUGCCAGCAGCCGCGGUAAUACGGGGGAUGCAAGCGUUAUCCGGAUUUAUUGGGUUUAAAGGGUGCGUAGGCUGUGAGGUAAGUCAGCGGUGAAAUGCCCCCGCUCAACGGGGUGAAGUGCCAUUGAUACUGCCUGGCUGGAAUGCGGAUGCGGUGGGAGGAAUGUGUGGUGUAGCGGUGAAAUGCAUAGAUAUCACACAGAACACCGAUUGCGAAGGCAUCUCACGAAUCCGCGAUUGACGCUGAUGCGCGAAAGCGUGGGUAUCAAACAGGAUUAGAUACCCGUGUAGUC
rnacentral:rRNA from 1 species